GGCCUGGUGGUCUAGUAGUAUGAUUCCUUCUUAGGGCGUCAACCCAUGGUUAGCGUGAUGUGGAGGAGGUCCCGGGUUCAAUUCCCGGCCAGGCCC